rnacentral:SRP_RNA from 1 species
ACCGAGCUCAGUUACGAGAGCUUGUAACCUGAGUGGGGGCAUUAAAGUGAUGUGGACGCUGUUGUAGCGCUGCGGGCCUGGUUUGGGUGUGCUACUGUUGGCCCGCCCGUUUCAAGUUGCGUAGUGGACCGGCUGAGGCCCAUAAUGUGGCAGGCACAGCGUGAGGCUGGCUUCACAGAGCAGCGACAACUGCCCGCUUCCA